rnacentral:lncRNA from 1 species
UGAAGAGCAACUUAAGUUAAAUGUUUGCACUAAGCUCUAUUCUCCCAUUCCACAGUUUCUAAACUUUAUUUCUGGGUGUUGUUCUUCUGAUGUCUGGUGUUUUGAGUAAUGUGUUCUUCACACAAUUAUAUUUUAUGAUGCUUGUGUAGCCCCUACUCCUCAGGGUUUUUAUCGAUCGACGGUCUGUUCAAUUAUUAAUCAAGUGUGUUCUAGCAAGCAAUAAUAAGAAAAUUCAAAAUCUUGUUAGCGUGGAGACUAAAUAGAGAAGCUACGACUUGAUCAAGUGUGACAUGGUUGGACCAACCUUGUUAAAAGCUAAACCGACUUGGUUCAACUCCUACUCGGUCUAAUUCGACUCAACAAUUCAUACUUUGCCAAUUCAAAAUUUUAGAAUUUCUUUGAUUCACAUUCCAGCAAU